rnacentral:misc_RNA from 1 species
GAAAUGCGAUAAGUAAUGUGAAUUGCAGAAUUCAGUGAAUCAUCGAAUCUUUGAACGCACAUUGCGCCCGCCAGUAUUCUGGCGGGCAUGCCUGUCCGAGCGUCAUUUCAACCAUCAAGCCCCCGGGCUUGUGUUGGGGACCUGCGGCUGCCCGCAGGCCCUGAAAACCGGUGGCGGGCUCGCUGUCACACCGAGCGUAGUAGCAAUCACCUCGCUCAGGGCGUGCUGCGGGUUCCGGCCGUUAAACAGCCUUACAAAACCCAAGGUUGACCUCGGAUCAGGUAGGAAGACCCGCUGAACUUAAGC